rnacentral:rRNA from 1 species
CCUACGGGAGGCAGCAGUGGGGAAUAUUGGGCAAUGGGCGCAAGCCUGACCCAGCAACGCCGCGUGAAGGAAGAAGGCUUUCGGGUUGUAAACUUCUUUUCUCAGGGACGAAGCAAGUGACAGUACCUGAGGAAUAAGCCACGGCUAACUACGGGCCAGCAGCAGCGGUAAUAAGUAGGUGGCAAGCGUUAUCCGGAUGUACGUGUUGUAAAGGGGGUGUAGGCGGGACUGCAAGUCAGAUGUGAAAACCAGGGGCUCAACCUGUGGCCUGCAUUUGAAACUGUAGUUCUUGAGUACUGGAGAGGCAGACGGAAUUACUAGUGUAGCGGUGAAAUGCGUAGAUAUGAGGAGGAACACCAGUGGCGAAGGCGGUCUGCUGGACAGCAACUGACGCUGAGGCGCGAAAGCGUGGGGAGCAAACAGGAUUAGAUACCCGUGUAGUC